rnacentral:lncRNA from 1 species
UUGCACAAUUCAGCUGAAGUCAUCUGGGCCUUGGAAGGCAUUCAAAUCUUUAUAGAAAUGAAACAAAUGACAGAGAAAAACUCACUUAUCUGUUUCUGAAAGUCAGUAUGCUGUACAAAAGAAAACAUCCUUCAGGAACUGCAAUGCUGAUGUAAAACAUAGCAAAAUAAAACAAAAACAGAAUUUUGAGUUUUCAGAGCUUCUACCUCAAAGUGGAUCAAACUCUAUCAAAUUGAUCAUGUUAUCAGCAGAGUGUGACCAUAUGAUGUACUGAAGAUGGCUGUGAACAUGAAUUGAAGAUCUUUGAGUCUUAAGAGAACACAGAACACCAGGGAAACUAUAAUGAAGACUAUCAGGAGACUAUAAGGAGGAUAAUACU